GACGAACGCUGGCGGCGUGCCUAAUACAUGCAAGUAGAACGCUGAAGAGAGGAGCUUGCUCUUCUUGGAUGAGUUGCGAACGGGUGAGUAACGCGUAGGUAACCUGCCUUGUAGCGGGGGAUAACUAUUGGAAACGAUAGCUAAUACCGCAUAACAAUGGCUGACACAUGUCAUUUAUUUGAAAGGGGCAAUUGCUCCACUACAAGAUGGACCUGCGUUGUAUUAGCUAGUAGGUGAGGUAAUGGCUCACCUAGGCGACGAUACAUAGCCGACCUGAGAGGGUGAUCGGCCACACUGGGACUGAGACACGGCCCAGACUCCUACGGGAGGCAGCAGUAGGGAAUCUUCGGCAAUGGGGGCAACCCUGACCGAGCAACGCCGCGUGAGUGAAGAAGGUUUUCGGAUCGUAAAGCUCUGUUGUAAGUCAAGAACGGGUGUGAGAGUGGAAAGUUCACACUGUGACGGUAGCUGACCAGAAAGGGACGGCUAACUACGUG
rnacentral:rRNA from 1 species